AUCGAACGCUGGCGGCAGGCCUAAUACAUGCAAGUCGAACGAGUGGCGGAAUGGUGAGCAAUGGCUUGGAAACUGCCUGACGGAGCGAGAUAAGUACUGGAAACCUUAGCUACUAGCGCAUAACACCGUAUGUGCUCAGAGUGGAUUAGCUAGUGGGGGGGGUAUAGGCUCACCUAGGCGACGAUCCCUAGCAGGUCUGAGAGGGUGACCAGCCACACUGGAACUGAGACACGGUCCAGACUCCUACGGGAGGCAGCAGUAGGGAAUAUUGCACAAUGGACGCAAGCCUGAUGCAGCAACGCCGCGUGUGUGAAGAAGGCCUUCGGAUUGUAAAGUACUUUCGGCAGGGAAGCGUUACCCACAGAGAAAGCACCGGCUAACUCCGUGCCAGCAGCCGCGGUAAUAC
rnacentral:rRNA from 1 species